ACAGCAGUCGCCACGGGAAUACGGAGGGUGCAAGCGUUAAUCGGAAUUACUGGGCGUAAAGCGCACGCAGGCGGUCUGACAAGUCAGAUGUGAAAUCCCCGGGCUUAACCUGGGAACUGCAUUUGAAACUGUCAGGCUGGAGUCUUGUAGAGGGGGGUAGAAUUCCAGGUGUAGCGGUGAAAUGCGUAGAGAUCUGGAGGAAUACCGGUGGCGAAGGCGGCCCCCUGGACGAAGACUGACGCUCAGGUGCGAAAGCGUGGGGAGCAAACAGGAUUAGAUACCCCGGUAGUCCCUGUCUCUUAUAC
rnacentral:rRNA from 1 species